GACGAACGCUGGCGGCGUGCUUAACACAUGCAAGUCGAACGGAAAGGCCCUGCUUGCAGGGUACUCGAGUGGCGAACGGGUGAGUAACACGUGGGUGAUCUGCCCUGCACUUCGGGAUAAGCCUGGGAAACUGGGUCUAAUACCGGAUAGGAGCCAUUUUUAGUGUGAUGGUUGGAAAGUUUUUUCGGUGUAGGAUGAGCUCGCGGCCUAUCAGCUUGUUGGUGGGGUAAUGGCCUACCAAGGCGGCGACGGGUAGCCGGCCUGAGAGGGUGGACGGCCACAUUGGGACUGAGAUACGGCCCAGACUCCUACGGGAGGCAGCAGUGGGGAAUAUUGCACAAUGGGCGCAAGCCUGAUGCAGCGACGCCGCGUGGGGGAUGACGGCCUUCGGGUUGUAAACCCCUUUCGCUAGGGACGAAGCUUUUUGUGACGGUACCUAGAUAAGAAGCACCGGCUAACUACGUG
rnacentral:rRNA from 1 species